rfam:Salmo salar isolate Sally breed double haploid chromosome ssa19, whole genome shotgun sequence.
GAAAAUUUGCUUUUUUAGUAUUUCUCCAGUAGGUUUCCUUAAGGAGGAAGACCUUC